GGUUAAAAUAAUUAAGGGCACACAGGGAAUGCCUAGGUAGUAAUGAGCCGAUGAAGGACGUGGUAAGCUGCGAUAAGCUUGGGUUAGCUGCAAACGAGCGCCAAUCCCAAGAUUUCCGAAUGGAGCAAUCUGCUAAGAUGGAGUCUUAGCACGAAAGAGGGUACCGAGUGAACUGAAACAUCUAAGUAACUCGAGGAAAAGAAAGUAAAAACGAUUCCCCAAGUAGCGGCGAGCGAACGGGGAUGAGCCUAAACNCAUAUAAGUGUCAAGGAUACAGCCGUUGCUUAUAUGGGGUUGUGGGAAGAACGUUUGAAGAACUGUAAGAUAUUCAACAUAUCUAAUGACCGAACUGGAACUAGUUGGAAAGCUAGAUCGUAGAAGGUGAUAAUCCUGUACAGGUAAACUCAUUAGAAUGUAUGUUNUNUCCCAAGUAACNUGGAACACGAGGAAUUCUGUGUGAAUCUGCGAGGACCAUAUNUCGUAAGGCUAAAUACUCU
rnacentral:rRNA from 1 species